GUCACGGUGGCCGAGUGGUUAAGGCGUUGGACUGUAAAUCCAAUGGAGUUUCUCCGCGCAGGUUCGAUUCCUGUCCGUGACG
rnacentral:tRNA from 1 species